rnacentral:rRNA from 1 species
UGCGUGGCAUACGGCUCAGUAACACGUAGUCAACAUGCCCAGGGGACGUGGAUAACCUCGGGAAACUGAGGAUAAACCACGAUAGGCCAAGAUUUCUGGAAUGAAUCAUGGCUGAAAUCUACAUGGCCCUUGGAUUGGACUGCGGCCGAUCAGGCUGUUGGUGAGGUAAUGGCCCACCAAACCUAUAACCGGUACGGGCUCUGAGAGGAGGAGCCCGGAGAUGGGCACUGAGACAAGGGCCCAGGCCCUAUGGGGCGCAGCAGGCGCGAAACCUCUGCAAUAGGCGAAAGCUUGACAGGGUUACUCUGAGUGAUGUCCGUUAAGGGCAUCUUUUGGCACCUCUAAAAAUGGUGUAGAAUAAGGGGUGGGCAAGUCUGGUGUCAGCCGCCGCGGUAAUACCAGCACCCCGAGUGGUCGGGACGAUUAUUGGGCCUAAAGCAUCCGUAGCCGGUUCUGCAAGUCUUCCGUUAAAUCCACCUGCUCAACAGAUGGGCUGCGGGGGAUACUACAGGGCUAGGAGGCGGGAGAGGCAAGCGGUACUCGGUGGGUAGGGGUAAAAUCCUCUGAUCCACUGAAGACCACCAGUGGCGAAGGCGGCUUGCCAGAACGCGCUCGACGGUGAGGGAUGAAAGCUGGGGGAGCAAACCGGAUUAGAUACCCGGGUAGUCCCAGCUGUAAACGA